AUCGUCCUACUGCGGAGAACCUUUAUAAUACAUUGCUUUCCCGUGCAAGCACAAUAUCUGUUUCAAGAAGCUCAAAACAAGAGUAGUUGCUUUUCAAGUAAUUAUUCAGUAUGAUCACAAAAUUUUGUAGCCGGAUGCUUUCAUUUAACUAUAUAUCAGGUAGGUUUUAGAUAAUUUGGGACCAACAUUUGGGUUUGAGCCCUUGAGCCCCAGCAACCUUGUUACAGUAGAAUUAAUUAAAUGGCUAGUUUAUGAAUCUUAGAGCUGAUGAAGAAUACCGGAGCCGUUCUCAUUUCCAGUCAUGGAUUAGGUGAUCUGUGUCGGUGUUAUGUAUUUUAAACUUUAUAGUUUAUUUUAAUCAAUGUCUUCAUACGAACUUUGUACUUCUUCACUAUCAAUAAUUUAUUGUAAUUCAAAUUCAACUUUAUCCUUCUGAUCCUGGUUUCACGUCGAC
rnacentral:lncRNA from 1 species